UGCAGAAUCCCGUGAACCAUCGAGUCUUUGAACGCAAGUUGCGCUUGAAGCCAUUAGGCUGAAGGCACGUCUGCCUGGGCGUCUCGC
rnacentral:rRNA from 1 species